UACGUAGGGGGCAAGCGUUGUCCGGAAUUAUUGGGCGUAAAGAGCGUGUAGGCGGUCCGGUAAGUCGGCUGUGAAAGUCCAGGGCUCAACCCUGGGAUGCCGGUCGAUACUGCCGGACUAGAGUUCGGAAGAGGCGAGUGGAAUUCCCGGUGUAGCGGUGAAAUGCGCAGAUAUCGGGAGGAACACCUAUGGCGAAGGCAGCUCGCUGGGACGUUACUGACGCUGAGACGCGAAAGCGUGGGGAGGCAAACAGG
rnacentral:rRNA from 1 species